GACGAACGCUGGCGGCGUGCUUAACACAUGCAAGUCGAACGAAGUGGCGCACGGGUGCGUAAUACGUGGUUAACCUGCCCUCCUUUUUGGGAUAAGCCUUGGUAACGGGGUCUAAUACCGACUAAAGGGUGAUGGGCUCGCGGCCUAUCAGCUGGUUGGUGGGGUGAUGGCCUACCACGGCGGUGACGGGUAGCCGGCCUGAGAGGGUGACCGGAAACAUUGGGAGUGAGAUACGGCCCAGAGUGGUACGGGAGGGAGCAGUGGGGGAUAGGGCACAAGGGGGGAAAGGCUGAUGCAGCGACGCGGAGUAGGGGAUGAAGGCGUUCGGGUUGUAAACCGCGGUCGAGAGCGAACGGGUAGGUGGAGAAGAAGCGCCGGCUAACUACGUGCCAGCAGCCGCGGUAAUAC
rnacentral:rRNA from 1 species